rnacentral:rRNA from 1 species
UACGGGGGGGGGCAAGCGUUGUUCGGAAUUACUGGGCGUAAAGGGCUCGUAGGCGGCCAACUAAGUCGGAUGUGAAAUCCCCAGGCUUAACCUGGGAACUGCAUCCGAUACUGGAUGGCUUGAAUUCGGGAGAGGGAUGCAGAAUUCCAGGUGUAGCGGUGAAAUGCGUAGAUAUCUGGAGGAAUACCGGUGGCGAAGGCGGCAUCCUGGACCGAGAUUGACGCUGAUGGAGCGAAAGCUAGGGGAGCAAACGGG